rnacentral:rRNA from 1 species
AUUGAACGCUGGCGGCAGGCUUAACACAUGCAAGUCGAGCGGGGGAAGGUAGCUUGCUACCGGACCUAGCGGCGGACGGGCGAGUAAUGCUUAGGAAUCUGCCUAUUAGUGGGGGACAACAUCUCGAAAGGGAUGCUAAUACCGCAUACGUCCUAUGCGAGAAAGCAGGGGAUCUUCGGACCUUGCGCUAAUAGAUGAGCCUAAGUCGGAUUAGCUAGCUGGUGGGGUAAAGGCCUACCAAGGCGACGAUCUGUAGCGGGUCUGAGAGGAUGAUGCGCCACACUGGGACUGAGACACGGCGCAGACUCCUACGGGAGGCAGCAGUGGGGAAUAUUGGACAAUGGGGGGAACCCUGAUCCAGCCAUGCCGCGUGUGUGAAGAAGGCCUUAUGGUUGUAAAGCACUUUAAGCGAGGAGGAGGCUACUUUAGUUAAUACCUAGAGAUAGUGGACGUUACUCGCAGAAUAAGCACCGGCUAACUCUGUGCCAGCCGCCGCGGUAA